GAUGAACGCUCGCGGCAGGCCUAACACAUGCAAGUCGAGGGAGAGGUUACCUUCGGGUAACCAAAACCGGCGCACGGGUGCGUAACGCGUAUACAAUCUGCCUUUCACAUAGGGAUAGCCCGAAGAAAUUUGGAUUAAUACCUAAUGGUAUAUAAGAGCGGCAUCGUUUUUAUAUUAAAGCUACGGUGGUGAAAGAUGAGUAUGCGUUCUAUUAGCUAGUUGGAGAGAUAACGGCUCCCCAAGGCGACGAUAGAUAGGGGUUCUGAGAGGGAUGUCCCCCACACUGGUACUGAGAUACGGACCAGACUCCUACGGGAGGCAGCAGUGAGGAAUAUUGGACAAUGGUCGGAAGACUGAUCCAGCCAUGCCGCGUGCAGGAUGAAGGUCCUAUGGAUUGUAAACUGCUUUUGUAAGGGAAGAAUAAGGAGUACGUGUACUUUGAUGACGGUACCUUACGAAUAAGCAUCGGCUAACUCCGUG
rnacentral:rRNA from 1 species